rnacentral:misc_RNA from 1 species
UCUCCGUUGGUGAACCAGCGGAGGGAUCAUUACCGAGUUUACAACUCCCAUACCCAAUGUGAACCAUACCAAACUGUUGCCUCGGCGGGGUCACGCCCCGGGUGCGUCGCAGCCCCGGAACCAGGCGCCCGCCGGAGGGACCAACCAAACUCUUUCUGUAGUCCCCUCGCGGACGUUAUUUUUCCAGCUCUGAGCAAAAAUUCAAAAUGAAUCAAAACUUUCAACAACGGAUCUCUUGGUUCUG